rnacentral:rRNA from 1 species
UGGGGAAUAUUGGACAAUGGGCGCAAGCCUGAUCCAGCAAUACCGCGUGUGUGAAGAAGGCCUGAGGGUUGUAAAGCACUUUUAAUCGGGAGGAACAUCUCAUGGUUAAUAGCCAUGAGUCUGACAUUACCGAUAGAAAAAGCACCGGCUAACUCCGUGCCAGCAGCCGCGGUAAUACGGAGGGUGCGAGCGUUAAUCGGAAUUACUGGGCGUAAAGCGUGCGUAGGCGGCAUGUUAAGUCAGAUGUGAAAGCCCCGGGCUUAACCUGGGAACGGCAUUUGAUACUGGCAAGCUAGAGUUUACUAGAGGGGAGUGGAAUUUCCGGUGUAGCGGUGAAAUGCGUAGAGAUCGGAAGGAACACCAGUGGCGAAGGCGACUCCCUGGAGUAAAACUGACGCUGAGGUACGAAAGCGUGGGUAGCAAACAGG